rnacentral:rRNA from 1 species
AUGGCCGAGCCGAACGAGAAAGUUUGGGGUAGAUAUAACAUGCUCCUUGAAAUGAAUGAACUAGAGGCCGACCCUCGAGCAGUGCAUCUGCCUGGUAUUUAUAUGGGAGGGUGUGGAGCACUUGCCUUUGGAGGCUUCCGCGCGCGCCCAGGAAUCAGCCUGCACGUCGCUGUCGUGCAGGACGUGGGAGCAGGAGUCGUGGCUGAAUGGGUAGAACGUGGUCACCAAUUAUAUUGUCUAUGCAUUUUGUUAAUAUGCCGUGAUAUUUUGAUGGCCAACGCCGACGGCGCGGUACCCGUGAGUGUUGUUCCUCCUUCCCGCAGGGUCGUCAUGGCACUCUCCGGCCUUGUCCGUCUUCGAGUUCCCCUUCGCGUUUUCCCUAGGGUGGACAUGCAGAGUUGGUCGCAGGUAACCCUCCUGGUCCCGACGGUCCAGUGCGUCAAUGGGUGCGCCUAUGUUUGUUUCUCGCUACGACAGAGAAGUCGGAGCUGCGCGCGGCGGGGCCCCCGCGACAACAAUGAUUCCAUGAGGGCGGUUUCAGCGGAUGGUGCUCUCUGGAGAUCGCGAUGGACUAGGUCGUUGCGAGGCUUGAAACUUUCUCUUGCAAUAUGCCCCUCGAGGUCUGGGUUCGAAAUAGAAGACGACGGAGACAAAGUUCAGCUCAAUUCCGUCCGGACUGUGGCCGCAGCCUCAUACUAUCUCUCGUUGCAGGCUGCGUACCCGGGGAUCAUCACUUCCACCUUGAUGGAGGAAGCCACGACACCAUCUUCGUUUGAAUCAUGUAGAAUGCCUUUAUCACAGUUGGCCAAAAAACACCUAUUUGAACCAGAUACUAGUGAGCUAGCCAAUCCAGUGAUUACGAAGUUAGGCGUACCACACGGCCAUCCUGAGCUUGGACCACGUGGAUGGACGGCAGGGCCAUCUUUCUCAGCUCGUUGUUAUCAACCUCCCGCACCUGGGCCCAGACUUGAUGAAGCUUCAACCCUUGGGACACAUAUGAUAUCCAAAGGUUUAGGCUGGGAGAAUCAUGAGGUUGAAUACGCUUCAAUGCCUCUUGGGUAUCUUGAAUGGGGUACUAAUGUCUUGAAGAAAUAUCAUACCCAUCUGAAAGGGAGUGAGGAAGGUGUAAAUUAUGUCUAUGGAGCCAUUUAUUGCUCUUUAGGCGACUAUUCUGUCUCCCCUUCUCUUUUAAGGUCUUUAUUGGAGAAAUGGGAUCCCAACACCAACACGUUUUUGUUCUCGUCUGGCGAGCGUACAGUCACACUUUGUGAUAUGCAUCAGAUCGCGGGGUUGCCCCUUGAUGGUGAACCUUAUGAAGACUAUGUUCCCCUAGCUGAUGAGUUGGAUCCUUCGACUCUUUUGUACCCAACUUCCUGCCUCGGCUCCUACAAAUUUGGACCAAGCUUGCUUGGAGUAAACUCCUUUGCUACCAAGAGCUUAGAAGACCAGCGCGUGUACACCGCGGCUUUCCUUGCCAUAUGGCUUUCCCGCUACGUCGUUGUUGGUGGUGGGCCAUAUAUUCGCCCUGGGGUAUUAGUGAUGGCGGCAUGGAUUUCCCUAGGACGACGCAUCUCUUUGGGCCCACCUGCUCUUUGCUCCCUUUAUUACUCACUUCGGCGGAUUUGUACUCAUCCGAUUGGCCCCUCAUUCAUACAUAGGAUUUGGCCGGUCCACUACCUUGCUGGAUGGAUGGGCGUGUACCUCAAGAAACCCUAUGGAAACAGAGCAAAAACGCCAAAUUUCCCGAGAUCCAGAGUUUUGGCGGUACAACCUAAUAUGGUGAACACAAUGUUUAAGACGCCACAUCAUUUUACUCCUAAAGAGGCACAUGCUUUCCUCGAUGACUCUAAGAAUAUUGUUUGGAACCCCUAUUCUCUCACUAUGGAAGGUGUGUUCAAACCCAAGAGGGCUUUCUUAAUUUCUAUUCGUCGAGGCAUGCUGACGUGGAGGUGUGGUACUAUCACCGCCGAUGUGUGUAUAGCUGAACCAUAUCACCCAGAUCGAGUGGCACGACAGUUUCGUCUUCACCAAGUUGUACCCUUUUCUCCUCUAGCGAGCAUGUAUACUCAAGACGAAAUUGGAAUUGCCUAUGCUUUUUGGUCACACCUAUUAUCCUUGGCCCCUGAAGAAUUCCACUAUUUUCCUGACGAUGAUCGAGUUGGGAACUCCUCUGUAGCAUGGGCUAAUUGGUGGAAAAAAAUUCUAAAGCCUUUCGCCGACAUUCUGGACCAACUUUGCAAUGGCAACAUGACUGGGAAGACCCCUUAUGAUGUAAGGAUAAAAAAUAAGCGUGCACUACAACACAAUAUCAUGCCUCGCCCAUUGUCUGAUAAAGAUUUUAUGGUGAUGAGGAGAGUAUCUAUGGAGCACUGUGACAAACAUGUUCAGUCCCUUGAGAAGGAAGAAACGCCAAUUACAGAUCAAUGGAGACUGGUCCUCUAUAAUUAUUUAAAUGAUGUUGUUGCUGCUCAACCGGUGAAGUCUAAAGAGGUGAGCUCAAACACAUCUACGGCGAGCGGAAAGAGACGCAGACAAUCUACACCGCCUCAUGUGGAACAGGAAGCAAGGCUGCCUUUGAAGCGUAAACUUGAUUUCGCCCAAGCAUCCAAUUUUUCUGAACCAAUAACAUUGGAUGGUCCGUCCUUAGAUGUUGAAUUCAGUAACUUUGUUAGUGAUGAAGAUUUUAGCCAUGUUCUCAGAGGAGAAAAGGACCAUGGCCUUGGUGACCUCUUCGAUUUAUCCGUCGAGGAUUGUACCUUUGGCGAGUGUGGCACAAGUCGUCUACCCUCCAGCCCUGGUGUGGCUGAAACUGUGCUCCCUACCCCUAGUGCUCUUGAUUUCUUGUCAACUUUACCUGGACUGAACGACUCUACCCUUGGUGAUCCCAAGCGACGCAUCAUGCUUGAGAGCGUUUCUCAGACGCUGCCCACGCAAGUACCUGAGGUAGCUAAGGUGCAUGCCAUGUUGGUCGGGCUUAUUGACCUUUCCAAGAAAUUGGAGGUUGGCCAGACUGAGUUCACAAAGGGAUUCGAGCGAGAUGAACAUGUUGCUGCCGAAGUCGAGCUUAAAAUUAAGUUCGGUCACGAAGUUUCCAAGGCUGCGAUUGGGGACUUAUCUAACCUAGACAAGAAGUGUGCUGAAAUGGAGGUGCAGAAAGCGGCGCUUAAGGUGCAGCUUGAGGAGGCUACCGCCAGUUUGCAGAAGCUUAAACUAGAGAGGGAACAGCGCCGACAAGCACAUAAUGCUCAUCAAUCUGAACUGAAGGACUUGGUGAAGAGUCUACAGGACACCAACGCCGGCAAGCAUAGGCUUGCUGAAUUUGAACAAAAGACGGCAAAAUUAAAGAUUGAAGCAAGUCAGUUGUUGAACAGCCUGCAUAACUGGCGAGCUCCUUGA